CUCAGCCUCCUUCCAAUCACGCAGUCUCAAUGAUGCCUAAGCCACCACCUCCUGCCCCCGUUGCACCGCGUCCUCCAUCUUACACGCCGCCGGCUCCUCCUCCUUUCGUGAACAGCAGUGGUGGGUCAGGAUCAAACUAUUCGGGCGGUGAACUGCUUCCACCUCCUUCUCCUGGCAUUGCGCUUAGCUUCACAAAGAGCACGUUUACAUACGAAGAGUUGGCGCGUGCUACUGACGGUUUCUCCGAUGCUAACCUCCUCGG
rnacentral:lncRNA from 1 species